rnacentral:rRNA from 1 species
AUGGCAAUGCUUACGCUGAAUAUGAGUAGGGGUGGCAAGUUCAAAAGAACUGACAAGAAGGAUGUUGCUCGAAUUUUUCAAGCUGAUAUUAAAGUUAUUUAGAGAAUCUGGAGGACAGCAGAGCAACAAAAAGAGCUUGGUAAGGAGGUGGAUGUGUCCAACCAAAAGAAAAGAAGAUGUGGAAGGAAAGGAAAGGAUAAUGUUCUAUCUCAAAUCCCCACAGUUCCAUUGAAUAGAAGGUCGACUCUCAGGUCACUUGCUCGCGCAUUGGGUGUCAGUCAUACUACACUCUACCAGAAA